UACAGAGGGUGCGAGCGUUAAUCGGAAUUACUGGGCGUAAAGCGCGCGUAGGCGGCUUUGCAAGCCGGAUGUGAAAUCCCCGGGCUUAACCUGGGAACUGCAUUCGGGACUGCAUUGCUAGAGUAUGGGAGAGGGAAGUGGAAUUUCAGGUGUAGCGGUGAAAUGCGUAGAUAUCUGAAGGAACAUCAGUGGCGAAAGCGACUUCCUGGACCAAUACUGACGCUCAUGUGCGAAAACGUGGGGAGCAAACAGG
rnacentral:rRNA from 1 species